rnacentral:rRNA from 1 species
UAGUAACGGCGAGUGAAGUGGGAAAAGCUCAACUUUGAAAUCUGGCACCUUCGGUGUCCGAAUUGUAGUCUCUAGAAGUGUUUUCCGUGCUGGUCCAUGUGUGAGUCUGUUGGAACACAGCGUCAUAGAGGGUGACAACCCCGUUCAUAACAUGGAUCCCAGUACUUUGUGAUACACUCUCGACGAGUCGAGUUGUUUGGGAAUGCAGCUCAAAUUGGGUGGUAAAUUCCAUCUAAAGCUAAAUAUUGGCGAGAGACCGAUAGCAAACAAGUACCGUGAGGGAAAGAUGAAAAGCACUUUGGAAAGAGAGUUAACAGUACGUGAAAUUGUUGAAAGGGAAACGAUUGAAGUCAGACGUGCGUGGUGCGGUUCAGCUCUGGUUCGCCAGAGUGUAUUCCGUGCCUUUGCAGGCCAACAUCGGUUUCACGAGGCGGAUAAAGGUUUGAGAAAUGUGGCACCUUCGGGUGUGUUAUAGUCUCUUGCUGAAUACGCCUCGAGAGACCGAGGAACGCAGCGCGCCGCAAGGCAAAG